CCAGCUGUUUACCAGCCAGCAAGUGCAGGCUUUUCUGCAGAGCCACCCAGUGGCUACUAGUGACAUCAGUGGUGGCAUUUAGGAGCUUCCUGCCUGCCCAACUCCGGGAGAGCAGUGGUGGGUAUCUUGGAGCCCCAGCUUUCAGGACCCUGGAGUGACGUUUCCAGCUGUCUACCCGCUGCGUCUAGAAUUGCAGGUCUUCAGAAAGCUGAAGCAGGAGGAUCAGAAGCUGGAGGUCAGCCUGUGCUGUAGAGACUGGAAACAUGGUAGCAGAAUCCAGAGCUUACUAGAGCCGGAGCAGGAGGAGAGGAAGACAAAGACAGCCAGCAUUCUGUUCUUGUCCACUGGAAGCCAGCCAGUAAGGGUGUCCUUUGAGAAAACGAAGGACACGUCCUCUCCUCAGGAAUGACUGAGUAAGAACAAGGGGUUUCUCGGGAUGCAUAACUCUGAACAGGGUCGUGGCAGAACUGACCCACACUUGUCCAGCUGUCCCUAGGCCGAGCCACAGUGAUGUCACCAGCCUCUGUGGCAAAUGAAGAUGACAAUCACAGUCCUGAGUCCUGGCAGGCUGGAGGCCUGAUGGAUCUACAGAAAAUGUUCCUACUUCCAUCUGAGCCAAAAGCACACCUCAAGCUCAACUUUAAAAUUGUGACAAACCUGGCCCAUGAGCCCAAACAAGCGCCAAGGAUGGCUGGCUCAGCAUCUGUCACCUCUGCAGUUGAGGCCUGAGCCUUCUGCCUGGAAAACUAAAGCCAAUUAAAACCAUGUGUGGUGGCAUACCCCUGUACUCCCAGCACUGUGGAGACAGGCAGGAGGAUUAGUAGUUAGAGACUAGCCUGAGCUACAUAACAAACCUAAGUUUGAGAAAGAAAGAGCAGGGCUGGGGGUGUGGUUUAGUGGCCAAGUGCUUGCCUGUCCGGAUGUGUUAAGGCCCUGGGUUUGUUCCCCAGCACCACAAAAUAAACAAACGAAUGAGGACCAAGAACCCCCCUUCCAUCUCCUUCUUCGUGACACAUGUUUAUCUUAGGGAGGAAAGUCUAAAGGCCAAGCACAUUUUCUGAGGCACUGGGUCCCCGUUCCCUCCCAGUCAGGCUCCUCUGUUAAUCUGGAGCACUCUUACCCUAACCUCCUGACCUCCUGUACCCUAACUGCCCCCUGGGAGCUUGGAGGAGACAGACUGAGGACACAGAGGCUGUCUGAGAGCCUAAGGAGUAGGGUGUGGCACCCUACCUGACCUGAGAGUAACAUCUCCCCGUCAGGGCUCCAGUUCUGACACCCAAAGCUAAAGAUCUCAU